rnacentral:piRNA from 1 species
UCCAAGGCGCCUUCCUGACCCCUUCACUUGU